GACGAUGCUCACGUCAGUUUGUUUGAACGGGCUGAUCUUAGAAAGAUCGAUCGCAGAUUCGUUGCUGCGAUUUCAGGGUUUCGAACAAACAGGACGAUAUCGAUGUACAAGCAAACCAUGCGCGCUUCAUAAAUCAUAGAGAGUUCGGUCUGCUUUUCCUGCCUAAUCGUUUUCAUCUACGUGUGUAUCAAAUAUACUUGAGACGUAUCUUUUAGCGAUCGGGAUCAAGUCUCAGGAGCGUCGGCCGUUAAUGACAACAUGAAAUAAUGUCGGCAUAACAUAACUAAAGUAUACUUGAAUAUAUUCCUCAUGAAUAAAUGGUGUCGGAAAGCAAAGGAGAACUAGUACCGAAGCCAAGCAAGUUGAACGAUACGUACGAUUUUUUCGCGCCGCGGUCGAUGAUUUAAAGUUGAA